UCUGUACAGCAUAAGCUAAAAUUGAGCUGACUUUAAGUUGGAAGAGGGUUGAAACUGAGGUUUCAGGCCCAGUAAUAAACAUUUGAGAAUUGACAUGUUAUAUCUUAAGCUGCACAUGCUACAGUUGUCCAAUGAUGAGCUGCUGAACGCCUAUUUUUUUUUGCAGAAUUAGAAUAUUUAGACAAAAAGGAACACUACUACAAAAUCUGGAGAGGGAAGCAAAACCCAGAAGCUAGCUCAAACAUCUGUAGCACUAAAAUUGUCAAAAGAUAUUUUUUUAAUAUUUUUUUCUUGAAUCAUGAAUAUUCAGAUUAAAAUACUUGAACAAGUAAGUGUAACCAACGUUAUGGAUUGAAACCAAGGACACCCAGAAAUGAAAAAAAUAAGGAAAUAUGGAAUAACAAUAAUAAUAAUACAGAGAGAAAGAGAAGGAAAGGAACUAACUUGUGGGCACUGUAUUCAUACUCCAAAUUGAUGAGUUGUUGAGAAGAAGAAGAAGAAGAAGGAGAAGUGCCUCCUUGAGGUUGAGCACCAUAACUUCUCUUCCUGCAUACUCUGCUCAAUAAGCAAUGCAAAUUUCUUCUUGUUGCACCCAUUGAAUUCAUAAUAACAAUAAUAUCAAUGUAAUUUUUGAUAAUCCAAUCUAAUUACGUUCAGUUGGAUCCUAGGAAAACCCAACGUUGAAGUGUGCUAAUGAUAGAUAAGAACGAGAGCAGGACGUCAAAUUUCCAUAUUUGUUUUUGUUAUGUUCCGUUUAGCUUACGACUUUUACGUCAUGGUUACCGUAAAGGUACACGUCCCAAAGCAAAAAGCCAUUCCCAUUCAUUCAACUCAGUGAUCCAAUCCCCAUUGCCUCUCCAUCUCAGUAACCUACGAAAUGAACUAUGACUAGACCACGGCACCCAUGCCCCCUAUCCAAUUCAUUUUUGGCCCAGUAAUUUUGCUGCCUCUGCAUUUCUUUUUUUGAAAUUUUGACAGUUGAAAAAAUGAUCAUUAUUAUUAUUUUAACUUGUUAAACUCUACAUAAUGUUACAACCUUAAAAAAGCUCAGAUGUGAUCCGAUCAUGAGAUCGUAGUGAGUAACAGAUACGAGAGAAAUCGCAGUUAAAUAUAUCCAUAUGAAGAAAUAUUUGAAGUUGAUAAAUA
rnacentral:lncRNA from 1 species